CCAAACCGACUGUUCUCCCUCUAACCCACACGCAGGAAACAAGUGUGUCUGCAGCCACAGUUUACAUGUUUGCAAAUCUGCUACAUUCUCCCCCCCUCUCUUCUGCAGGUUACGUGCAUCUGAUUUCUUCAGGCUUUCCUCGCUGGUGGUGUUUUAGCUCUGUUUAUUCUCAUCUCUCUCCUGGUCUCUGGGCACUUCACAUCUCAGCAGAGGACACCCAGAGCUCCCGCUGGGCUGCGGCAGUGCUGAGCAGAGCAGGAUUACCGCACGUCUUGCAGCCAUACUCCUGUUUGCACAGCUUAGUGCAGUGUUUGCCUUUUUCACAAUGGCUUGACACUGUUGACUCCUAAUCAGCUUGUGAUCUAUUAUAUCCCCUAGAUCUUUUUCUGCAUGAGGGAAACAGUGUUUUAGCAGUUUUAUUCCAGGCAGCCACAUGAGAAGAAAAUGACUUGAAGUAGUGUGAGUGAGAUUAUCUGCUUUGUGCUUCAAUGCCAGAAUUGUUUACUGGUUUCCAAUUAGUUACAUAUGUACACUGUGUUAAGGGAGUUGCACAAGAGUUGCUAAUGCCUUCCUUUGGCCUUCACCUCCUUUAUUACUAGUGGGGACGGGUACCUAAGAGUCGUUUGGGCCAAUUUCCCUGUGUACUCAAGAUUUCAAAUGCUCUGCUGGAAUUUCAGGGUUAAUUGCUUGAAAGAAACCGUCUUCUAAUUUGGGUGUAUUGAAUUUGAAUUACCUCUCUGAAAAGCGCUGUUGCUGUCUGGAGAGGAGCUGUUGUGUGAUACAUUUCUCUCUCUGAAACAUUCGCUGUCGUUACAGAGGAUAUUGCUAUUGAUUGUUUCUUUUUUUCGAAUGAGUCAACCUGAAGAAGCCUGUGGUUGUUUUUAUGAGUUGGCAAAUGUCACAAAUAUUCUGUUAACAUGAGUCCUGGACUUAGGUACCUCAAUGGGGAACUGGAAGGACCCCAUUCAUUUCAGUAGCAGUCCACACCUCCAAACGUGCUCUUCUUGACCACCACCAGUCAUCCACUCCCUGUGCGCUUCCAUUUCUUGUCCCCUCGUCCAUUUGGAGGACCACACUGUAACCUUGGGAAGGUUUUCUUUGUUCUGUCGGGUGUUCUUCCUUAUUCAGCUGCUGUAGUUCAGGCUGGUGGGUGUACCUUUUUGGUGGAUGUGGUUUCAUGGCACUGAGGCAGGAGUUGCUUUACCUCCUUGCAGACAGGUGAGGGUAAGGGAUGGAACGGUUCUUUGCCUUGUGCUUCAAUACCUGGGCAGUCUUAGCAAAGUUAGAAUUCUUUUCGCUGUCUUUCCUUAAAGGAACGUUUUUAUACAGUGCUACAUUUAAAAAAUACAUUAAGAGGACCAUCUCUACAUUUAGCUGGUGAAACUUGCUGUUUGACAGAGCCCGGUGGUAGGCAGCCGACUGUGGUAUAACCACCUCGGUUAAUACAGUUUGGUUUUGUUAUUAAGCAACCAACGUGAAACCCAGUAAAGUAAUAAUGAUAUUUCCUUACUUACCGAAAAGGUUUUAUAAGUAAGUUGUUUGGGGGAAAAUGUUAUUUACAAGAGGUAGCAAGAUUUAGAUGAUGAAAAUAGGCACAAGUUAGCUUUGAAAUCCCAUUUCCCUAAUCUUGACAAGUUCCUGCUCACCACAAGUGAUAACCCUUGAGAAUCAAAGCUUCCACUUGAAGAAGAGUAAACCUCCAGAAAGUUCAGUUUAGGUUCUUUGCUUUUCAAAGCCAUUCCUCUCUUUGAUCUCCUUGCUGACUGAAGUGUGAAGCACUUAUGAAAUACAGUUAUGCCAGAGAGCUGAGGAUAGAAGGUGGGAUUGUGUAUUUCCCAAGGAUUCACUGCUAAAUUCAUAUUGUCCACACUGAGAAUUCUGUUGAACUUCAAUACCUUUGGGAGGUUGAACUUCUUUAUAUAUAAGUACAGGAAGCAUCUGACAUUUUAAGAUGGGAAAAUGCUUAAAGAAAUAAAUCAUACCCCUACAAAGGAAUGUAUACAUUGCAGGAACUGAGACGUGUAUAAUAUGCAGAGAUCCGCAAGACAAUGAUUGGAUGCACAUCUUUGUAUGACAUACAGACAGGAAGGGAAAAGAAUAAUGUUUUGAAUGAUGGAUUAACCAAAAGCCUCUGAAGAAAAGCUCAUUGAAUUGUGCAGCUCUGGAGAACAUGGCAACAUUAACUUCAUACAUCUUCAUCAAAAACAGAUUUCAGUACCUUUUCUAAAUCUCUAUACUGCCCUAUAAAAUACAUAUCUUAUUAUAUCAUGUUAUAUCAUAUCUUAUGACUUCUUACAUUAAUCUUACUGUAUUAAUCUACUCUGAAAAAAAAUGGUCUUAAAAUACAGUUUAUUGUC
ensembl:lncRNA